GUUGCAGAACUGUGGACAACAAUAACAUCAGCAUUCCUGGCCACCAUAAAAUAAUAUGCUUAAAAUCUGCCCAGAAGGAUUUUUAAAGAAUUUCUAAAGCUUCAUAAGAGUGAGUCCUGUUGCUGAACCUCCGAAGAAGCCCUCUUACCAAAGUAUAGAAAGUAUUUAUACUGCCAAUGUUAAGGAAUUAGAAGAAGAGGAAGAGCCUAUUGUUGAGGAGAAGAUAGAAGUGGAAGAGAAGACAAAACGUGCUGGCCGUGGAAAGAAGAAAGCAAAGAAAUAAUGUAAUGAGACUGGAAGAAGGCGUUACGAUUAUUUGUUUGUUUGUUUGUUUGUUUGUUUAGUAUCAUACACACAUACUGAUCUGAAUUUAAUGCAAUCACAGCUGUUAAAUACAGAUAUAGCCAAGUGGAUCUUAUUCAUUAUAAACCAAGCUAGAACCCAAAGGUGCCUUAUUAUCAUCAACCUUCCCAUAAAGGACCUUGUUUCUUUCCAUAAAACAGCUUGUCUUUCUAACCCAUCUGGAGAUCAAUUCCCAACAAAUAAUGCCAAUCCUAGCAAGAAAUUCCUUACUUUGCUCUACAGAAUCAAAACAUCUCAAGACUUUGGAAAGAAAACAAAAGCUGUGGUCAGACUGAUGUGCAGAAAGCCUAAGCCUAGCAAGUUUGGUGAGUUGACAGGGCAGAGGGAAAGAAAGCUAUGGGUGGCUAAGAGAGGAUGCAGAAAACCAACCAGAUGAAAUGAAGGGCCCCUAGAGAUAAUUGCAAAUGGAAUUAGUUGCAUCAUCAUCAUCAUCAUCAUCAUCAUCAUCAUCAUCAUCACGGCUUUCUUAUAUGAGAUCUCACAGGAUUUCUAGCAACAAUACAGAAAUCAUAAGAUCUUAGAAAGUAUACCAAUAUUUUGAUAUAUUAAAAGGGUUUUUUUGCUUGAGAUAUAAGCAUUUCACAGAUGGUAUGAAAUAUUAGGGGUGAAAUUAAGACAUGGGUGGGUUUUUUUCUUUUUGGCAUCUACACCAUCCUACAAAACCAUGCAAUGGUGUCCAGCACUUGAAAAAUUUACCAUCCUGUCUUAUAUGUUGGCCUUCCAGCAAGAAGUCAUAAUCUUUUCAAAAGCAAUGUGUUUUCACAGAUUGUUAAACAUUGCAGUUUUUCAAGACAUCAGAUUAACAUGGGGAAACAUCUAGUGAAGAACAAUCACAUCUGUGCAGGUGCUUGGAACAGAACUGCAGAAAAAGAAACUAGAAUUCUUGCUGAAGCAUGGCACAUUCUAUGCAUCAAUAAUACUGAAAGUGCCUUUUUCAUCUGGAAUCUUAAAAUCCCUGUGUUGCAGAUCAUCAGUAGAAAACUAUGUCGCUCUAUACAUCAUGUGACAGCAGGUGCCCUCACGCUAACCAUUAGUUGUACUAGCUAGGCCUGAUAGAAAUUGAAUAUUUUGAAGGCUACAAUGCUGUACC